rnacentral:vault_RNA from 1 species
GGGUAGGCUAAGUAAAGCGGCUACUUCGCCAAAUUCCACAGAACUGAGGGGAUCCAUGACUGCGACCUUCGCGCCGAGGUUAAAUCGUGACUUUCCGCUCUCUGUCGCUCUGAGCUAGCAUUAUCCGCUUAUGCAACCCUAUCCUUUU